rnacentral:rRNA from 1 species
CGGAGCAACGCCGCGUGAGUGAUGAAGGUUUUCGGAUCGUAAAACUCUGUUGUUAGGGAAGAACAAGUACCGGAGUAACUGCCGGUACCUUGACGGUACCUAACCAGAAAGCCACGGCUAACUACGUGCCAGCAGCCGCGGUAAUACGUAGGUGGCAAGCGUUGUCCGGAAUUAUUGGGCGUAAAGCGCGCGCAGGUGGUCUCUUAAGUCUGAUGUGAAAGCCCCCGGCUCAACCGGGGAGGGUCAUUGGAAACUGGGAGACUUGAGUGCAGGAGAGAAGAGUGGAAUUCCACGUGUAGCGGUGAAAUGCGUAGAGAUGUGGAGGAACACCAGUGGCGAAGGCGACUCUUUGGCCUGUAACUGACACUGAGGCGCGAAAGCGUGGGGAGCAAACAGGAUUAGAUACCCUGGUAGUCCACGCCGUAAACGAUGAGUGCUAAGUGUUAGAGGGUUUCCGCCCUUUAGUGCUGCAGCAAACGCAUUAAGCAC